rnacentral:tRNA from 3 species
AAGGCCUUAGCUUAAUUAAAGCGCCUGGUUUGCAGUCAGGAGAUGCGAGUUAAUUUCUUGUAGGUCUUA